AGCAAUACUGAAAACAUAUUUCAUUUUGUUGUACAAUGUCUUGCAAGGAGAACUGAUUUCGAGGAGUUUUCUAACGCACUUUUGUAUUUCAAUGUAAAGAGGCAAGCAAAGGCGUAUCAUUUUCUUCCAUCGCAAGACACUAUAUUAUUGAGGGCGCACGUGAGAUAACACGAGCAUGGUGCCAUUUUGUGUACUGUGUGUAUUGUGUCUUGUCUCGGGCAUUAUUGCAUCCCAAGACUGCAAGUCAAGUGGCAAUGAAUGCCGAUUCGUGCUUUUUUGUCGUCGAAGCAGGAGAGUACCCAUGAGUGGCUGUGGGUUCCUAAAAACGUGUUGUAAGAAAAAGGAAAAGGGAAGUUGUGUUUCGAUGCUGGGGAAGUGCCAAAAUGCCUCACAUAAAUGUGCCGGACUGGUACAUCAAAAGAUGACAUGCCCACAUGGACAGUGGUGCUGUGUCCCCACUGUGCACUAGUGAAAAUAGUUACGCUAUUUUUCAUGGUGUCUCCCUGUAGACAGAUUGGUUCAUGAGCCAAUAAAGCAUUUAUUUUCAGUAAA